rnacentral:rRNA from 1 species
UAUUAUUCCCAGGUUUCGCGUAACAAUUUGGAAAACAACAUAUGUAACUCUUCUACAUGCACUUCCAGAGAGCAAAGCAAGAUCAACGACCAUUGAGCAAAACAUGAUCGGCCGCAGUUUAGCAAUUCACGUGGUGAACCACAAAUUGGCGCAUGUUGUUUCAGUUUGCAGUCAACAUACAUAUGGUACAUGUCAAAGGGUUCGGAUUUAUUAGCUGGCAACAUACAUAGGGUAAACAAAGGGGUCAAGCAAAACUAAGAAUUGCUUAUAAGAAUGGGGGCACUAAAUAAUUUAUCAUAUCCUAUACUGAAUUUCUAGUACAUGAUGAUAAGAUAAUACUCCCAGGUCAAGUACCUCCUUGACUGAACCUACCCAUAAACAAAUUUGCCUUCUUCACAAUAUACUAGAACAUUGUGCAUAUAGAUUAGCAUGACAGGGAGGAAAAGGUGGUUGUGCACACUUGUGAGUUCAAGACAGUUAAAUGCACUGCAAAAUGUUCGAUGUUCUUCAGUACAGUUGCUAACUUGGGUACAAA